rnacentral:lncRNA from 1 species
UGAAGCCGAUGAUCGGCAAAAAGGUAGAGAAAGAAAAGAAACGCAGGAAACUUGUGAUGAUAUAAAGAAAAUAAAUGUUGCAAUAGUGAUAAACACUAGUUACUACUAGUAGCAAAAAAAAUGAUGAAACAAAAUUAGGGCCGUCCUCAAGUGAAGGUGAGGCUCGAUCGGGGGACCGGAGUACGUAGUUGCAUGAAAUUGAUAUAUGAAGCCGUACGUAGAUGGAUCGGCUCCUGGAUCGGACGGCUGAUGUGAAAUGAACAGAUUCAGAAGGCCUUGGCGACGUCCUUCAUGAGUCCCGGGUUGGCGUUGCAGAAGGAGAUGAACUCGCUGAAGUCAAUGAAGCCGUCACCAUCGGUGUCGAUCUCCGCCAUCAUGCGCUGCACCUCGUCCGCGGAGGUCGACCCCAGCGUCCGCAGCGCGUCCGUCAGCUCGGACAGCGAGAUCUUCCCGUCACCGUUCGUGUCGAACCUCUUGAAGAUCCUCUCCAUGUCAUCCGCCAUUAUUGAUCCCUUGUAGUUCUUCUACCUCGAAUCACUCUUCGAUCGGUCGACGGGCGGGCAGUGGCAGCUAUGCUCGCGUGUCUUGGUCAGUUUGUUCCGGCUAUGCGUGUUCGCACCUAUAUAUAUAUAUGAAAUUCUAGGACGGGCAGGACGCCAUUGUUGUAGCUGAGUUUGUGGAGGCCAUUGUUGCAUGCGAGGAUGCCAACCGCCAGUCUCCUUGCGAAGCGCCCGUUCAUUUCGCGCCUGCGAUGGAACCGUUCGCCUCAACCAUCCAUUCCAUAGUAUUAGAGCAUCUCCGGCCCUUCGGCCUUCACGGGCGCGAAAUAGGGCUGCAUGGAGGUGCGCAAGUGAAAAAAUAAUCCUAGGCCUCGGAUUCGCAAUCGCGUCUUCAAUGGUCGCCCGAAAGGGUUUUUAAAAAAAAUCACCUUAAAUUUGAUCAAAACCCAGUCAAAUUCAUAUGAAAUUAAUAGUUUCAUUAAAAUUUGUAAAAAAUUGGAAAAACAUGAUUAAACAUUAAAAUAAAACUAAAACUAAGCUAAAGUCGCCUAUCGCCCACCGGUGCCGCCCGUCGCGGAGGUGCCGGCAGCCGAAGCUAUUGGCGGCAGCUCCAUCGCCUGGGUAGCGUUUAGCCAUUGGGGAGGAGAAGGAAAGAAGACGCCGGUGGCGAAGUGUUGAUUAAUUAGGCACAAUCACUAAAAAAAAGUAUGUCAACUAACGACCUUCAAUAUUGGUCACCGAAUGGUCAUUAAUUUCCAUUUGCGACAUUUUUACGACCAAAAACAAACGGUCAAAAGCUGAGGGUCUCUAAUGAACUAUAACAACAUUUUUGCUGGAUUGGUCGUAGGAUUUUACGACCAAACGAAAGCAUUAAAAUUAUUUUGGUCACUAGCAAUCUGCCCACGCCACGUCGGAUCUGACAUGGCAAGUUGACGUGGCAUAGAAUCGUCCCGGUCCAAUUCGGUGUUUUAAAUGGGCCGAGCCCAUUAAUCCAGCCCAUUUAAUGUUUUUUUCUUUAUUUUGCUUAGCUGCAUCGGCCUGGCCCAAUAAUUCCCAACAUUUUAGCCUUUUUUAUUUUGGGUUGUGGCCUUUUACUUUCUAUUAAAAAAAAUUUGGCCAUUUUAUUUUUGUACUGGUCCCACAUGUCAUGCGGAUCUCAAAAUUGGUCCCACACAUCAGAAAUUACAAAAUAUGUCAAACAACCAUUAUAACUUGAACCUCUGUCACAUCAUGAAUACAAUCAAACAUGUCCAAACAUGGCACAUUUCAAUCAAACAUGGUUCGCAUUAGGUUUAUAAUCAAAACUAGUUCACAUCAGGUAAAACAACUAAAAAGUCAAAACAAUAACUAGCUCCAAUGAUCAAGAACUUUGUGCUUCUCCUGACUUAUUCGUCCUGGACCUUGCGACAAAACAUGAAUGAAGGCCAACAUCUGCAAGUUAUCAGAUAAAAUGGUUAAGAACAAGUUAAGCUUUAACAAAUUUUAACUGAAAAUGAACAUGUGUUUGCUUUACUCUACUACACUUAUAGCUUUAACACAAAAUUAAGAAAAAUUCAUGAACAUGUACAGCAGGAGAGAGGAAUAGCUUUCUCUACUGUACAUUUACCUUUAACAUGUUUACACACAGAGAGGAGAGGACCAAUUUACACAGUGAGUUUCAAACAGUUAACAAGACAAGUUAACUUGUUUGGCCCUUUUUUCUUUUCGGUUAACAAGACUGGUAGCAGCAACAAGUGAACAGGUACUGCUACUAGUGACUGCUACUGAGUUUCAAACAAUUAACAAGACUGCUACUGAGCAUACAUAAUGACUCCUACUAGUGACUGCUACCGAGUUUCAAACAAUUAACAAGACUGCUACUGCUACUAGUGACUGCUACUAAGUUACACAAUGAGUUUCAAACAAUUAACAAGACUGGAGCACUGAGCAUGCAGAACAAAACUGGAGUAUAUGCAGAGACACAAGUACUGCUAAUGCAGAGACAAAAGUACUACUACUGAGCAUACAUAAUAUCUAAACAUGUUAAGUUAUAGGCAGUUUGUACACAAAUAAAAAUAGAACAACAAAAACAAUGUUGAUAUGUUAAAGUGACACAAUACUACGGACCGAGCCUGUUAGCAGCCUCUAACCACACAGCAUCAAGGCAUAUUUUCUACAUGUGCCUUGGGUUAUAAAAGGUUUGGGUCAGGUUUGUUGAUUAUUUGGUUUUCUUGGUCUCUGCAUGCACUUGGAUCCAAGCCAUGGAGAUCUUCUCUUUUGGUNGUGACUUGCCGGUUGUCGAGAAACCUGUACCGGGUAUCCUUAUGAACUACGACAAUCAAACUGUGAUCACGAAAGUGAGCAGCUCAAAGGAUAACAUGAAGUCAUCAAGACACAUUCAGAGAAGGUUAAAAUCUGUCAGGAAAAUGAGAAACUCCGGAGUUAUUGCAUUGGAUUAUAUCCAAACAUCUAAAAAUCUAGCAGAUCCUUUUACUAAGGGUCUAUCACGUAAUGUGAUAGAAAAUGCAUCGAGGGAGAUGGGUAUGAGACCCACAAUUUGAGUUGUUCACAGUGGUAACCUAUUCUUUGUGAUCAGAGAUCCCAUGAAUUAGAUGUGGAAGACAAGUUGUUGGUCAACUGAGAGGAAAGUAUCCUUAUCAUUAAUAAUACCACUCCAUGAAGAUGCAAUACAUUCCUAAACUGCAUGGCAGGUUGAUAUACAUCUUAAUAUGUUCUAAGUGGCUUAUUGAAGCAGAGAUGUUAUCCUGCAGAACAUCUUUUGAAGAACAUACCUAUAUGAGUCUGAUUGUUAACAUCGCGAUCUAUGAGAGUAGGGUGCUCUCUAGUAAACUCAUGAAAGGUCUCGGAGUAUGACGCAUAAGCUCCACCCGCGGGGAAGUCCCACGGUAGCCUAGUAUCGAUCAAACCUCUGUGUGAAGCUAGUUUCGCAGAAAACUUGCAGUUCAAGGCCUAGUCCACUGUUCAAGUUGCUUACUAGUGUAGCAUAGAGUUCUAGGUGGAAGUUCAACUUAACAGUCUCCACUGCAGUAUCGGUAUAUAAAACAGUGUUUUGGAACCAAAGGCAAAUUUUGUGUGCCUCUGGGAUCUGGUGGGGGAUUGCUGGAAUUUUGUCCAAAUAUGGGUCAGCCCAAUAUAUAUGAUUUCAGAAAAUUCCUAAUAAAUCAUAGAGGCCCAUGCAGCCCAUUUGUGCAAGGCAAGAGGUGGAAAUGUUUAGUCNACUGCUACUAGUGACUGCUACUAAGUUACACAAUGAGUUUCAAACAAUUAACAAGACUGGAGCACUGAGCAUGCAGAACAAAACUGGAGUAUAUGCAGAGACACAAGUACUGCUAAUGCAGAGACAAAAGUACUACUACUGAGCAUACAUAAUAUCUAAACAUGUUAAGUUAUAGGCAGUUUGUACACAAAUAAAAAUAGAACAACAAAAACAAUGUUGAUAUGUUAAAGUGACACAAUACUACGGACCGAGCCUGUUAGCAGCCUCUAACCACACAGCAUCAAGGCAUAUUUUCUACAUGUGCCUUGGGUUAUAAAAGGUUUGGGUCAGGUUUGUUGAUUAUUUGGUUUUCUUGGUCUCUGCAUGCACUUGGAUCCAAGCCAUGGAGAUCUUCUCUUUUGGUUGAUGUAGCUAGCACAAAGCACUAGUAGAAAAAUGACCUAUUGUCCCGGUUCGUGAGGGUCAUUUGUCCUGGUUUUUGAACCGGGACUAAAGUGUCGGUACUAAUGCCCUAAACCUUUAGUCUCGGUUCUUGCAUAAACCGGGACAGAUGGGCCUCCACGUGGCCGAUGCGGCGAGCCCAGGCAGGAGGCCCUUUGGUCCCGGUUGGUGGAACCAACCAGGACCAAUAGGCAUCCACGCGUCAGCAUCUCAGGUGUUGGGGGUUUUGUUUUUUUUUAAAGGGGGGGAGUGUUUGGGGGGUUAAUUUAGGUGUUUCAUAUAUUGUGUUAGCAUGCUAAUUAAUAUACAUAAGUGUCCUUUCUUAUCUCUAUGCUUGGUCGACGCUACGUACUAUACGUAUAGAGAGGACUAGACACACUAGCUAGUUAAGCAAAUGAAGGAAAUAGAAGAUCGUCAUGAACAGAUGCAUACAAAGAGAAGUGAUAUCGACCACCUCUCCUUCUCUGAGAGAUUGGUCAAACAACAAGUUCUCGUAUAUCUAUCCGACGCUACUGGCUACAUAUAUACAAUAUAAGUAUCUUUUACAAUAUAAUCUCCUAAUUAAAAUUGAACCCUGCAGAUUCCACAUAGUAUUCUCCGUCUUGAGCGAUCACGUGGUCAAGAAAGAAUGCCGCCAAUUCCUCUUGAAUUCCUCACAUACGAUCUGGUGCUAGGAGUUCAUCUCGCAUCCGAAAUAUCUAAUUUGAAGAAGGGGGUCAAUACAUAUAUAUGAAUAAAUGAAACUGAACACAAAUGAUGGUAAUAAAAUAAAAUUGUGAAUAUAAUUAUUUACGCACUUCAUAUUGUUUCUCGGAGUAGCCCCGCUCACAAGUCGCGUGGCAGAUGGACUCACAAAUGUAGUAUCCACAGUAAUUAGUCCCUUCUUCCUGCCACAACCACUUUACAAGAAAUAGAGGUCAAUCAAACUGAUAAUUAGCAAGCAUGCCAAAUGGUAUUGAUCAAACUAGCGCAUGAAUCACUAGGAGAUGCGUGGAACAUAUAUGCUACUAUAGUACUUACUUUCGGGUGUCUAAACUGCAGCUUCUUUGGCAGUCCCGGAGUUUUUGAGGUGAAUUUACUCCAAACCCUGCCAGACAAAGAAAACAAUUACUUGAUAUCAGGAAAUGAACAAAUUGAAGUUGCCGAUAUGGUGCGACAAUGAUAGAUUUAACUUACUUCUCUAGAAUUUCAGUCAUGUCCGCGUACUUCUUGGGAUCUUUUCGUCUCGAGUCUAAGACGGUUACUAGUCCCUGCUCAAGCGUAAUCUCUAGGAGAAUAUAGUGGAACCUGCGCAUGCAUGCAUAACUCAUCAAUUAAAUUACUAUAACCUCAACUAAUAAGGGAAACCGAAUAUUCCACAAGACAGUAACACUCACUCGAAGUUGUAAGGGAAGAGUAUUAUAGCUUUGUUUUCAUUUAAUAUAAAUGAUUGUAGCAGCUUGGCCUCGGUAUCUUUGGCCUGAAAUUUAACCAUAUAUGCAUCUAUGAGAUUUGUGUUAAUGAACCCAAUAUCACUGAUUUGUCUUUUCUUCAAUUUGGCGAUCUUCAAUCUGCAUAAUAUAGUGAGAAUAAUUAAAGAUACAUGCAAUGAAAGAGCUGACCUAUAUAUAGAGACUUAAUGACAGAAGUAGUACUACUUACAGGCAGUAGCAAGUGAUAAUUGACUUAUCGAGGGCCUUUAGAUUGAAAAACUCGAAGAACUCCUCAAAUGGAACAUUCAACAGAUCAAUUCCAACGAGGUCAUGCUCCUCUUUAACUCUGAGCGUCAAAAUANUCCACCCGCGGGGAAGUCCCACGGUAGCCUAGUAUCGAUCAAACCUCUGUGUGAAGCUAGUUUCGCAGAAAACUUGCAGUUCAAGGCCUAGUCCACUGUUCAAGUUGCUUACUAGUGUAGCAUAGAGUUCUAGGUGGAAGUUCAACUUAACAGUCUCCACUGCAGUAUCGGUAUAUAAAACAGUGUUUUGGAACCAAAGGCAAAUUUUGUGUGCCUCUGGGAUCUGGUGGGGGAUUGCUGGAAUUUUGUCCAAAUAUGGGUCAGCCCAAUAUAUAUGAUUUCAGAAAAUUCCUAAUAAAUCAUAGAGGCCCAUGCAGCCCAUUUGUGCAAGGCAAGAGGUGGAAAUGUUUAGUCCCACAUUGCUAGUUUAGUGGGAGUUGGACCUCCUUAUAAGGGAGGAUGUUUCCACACAUGUAUGAGCUUGAGAACAAGAGAGACAUACACGCGCGCUCCUCCUCCUCCGCCGCCCGCCUCGCCUCGUCACGACGUGCCGGGGGUUGCGGUAAUGAGCCGAGCCGAACUAAACUUUUGUCACGCACGACUGGUAUACGAAAGUCCACUCAGAGAAGCUGAACGUUUUUGCUAGUGGAUAUUGAAAGUGAACGCUGCAGUUUCGUUGUUGUGUGUUCGUUUCAUAUCCCGUCGCAAUCUUCGGCUCCCGUCGCUGGCCUCUCGCCUCCUUCUCCUGCGCCUAUAAAAGAGAGGUCGCUCCUCUCCAGAGACGAUGCAUCAGAAGUUCCCACUCGCCACCGGUUCUUUUCUCUGUGCUGCUACUACGUUCUUCCCCAUCCCGUCUUGCCGCGUGCACCGUUUGUCGGGACAGUAGGCCUCCGAAACUCCGUCUCUUCGAGUCUUGUACGGGAGAAGGGCGAUAAGGUUUUUGGGGAGCGCCCAGCGCGACUACUGGCUUCCAUCACGGACACCGACGAUUUCUUCCCGGACGACGACUACUUCCCCGACGUCGACCACCUCUCUGGUAACAUGGCCAACGACAACGCCAACACCAACCCUACUGCUACUGCAACUCAGCACGUACUCAUGUUCUUCUUCUUCCAGUUUCUACCACAACUUUUUGCUAUAGUAUCUCUUCUAGAUAUGUUCCGUUUCUGCUCAUCACUUCCUAUGAUACCUUGUCUAUAUAGAACGGUUACACAUAUGUUUUUUCUAGAUUAUAUGUGCACAUGUCUUUUGUUAUUUCAUCUCUAUAUUGCAUGCCUUCUUCCGUCUUUAUUAUGAUGGUUAUGUUUAUCCUAACUUUUCUUUUAAUAAAAUCCUAUGGUAAAUUGCUCAUAUUUCCAACAUUUAGGUCAGGGGACCCCCUCUCCUUGAUUACUACUUUCUUUACUUUUAGUUGUUGCUUUUCACAUGUCUUGAGUGUGUGUUCUGGUAUCUAAUUGUGUAGAUGCAUGGAGUUAUACGAUUGUCGUUAUUUUAUCUAUAGAAGUUUUUUUGGUCUAAGGGCAUCUCUAAGGUUGACCCUCAAAUCUUCCUUAUAUGUCCGUCAUCAUUUUGGAAAAAAAAAAUGAAUGGGGGGAGUAUGCGGGAUUUCCAACAUGCACUUACCAACAAAAAACGAGCACAUGAAUACAUUAUGGCUUCUCUCUUUUUUUUCUCUCCUCUCUCUCCUUCCAACUGCACACCAUAUACAUAUCCAAUUAAAAGCAACUGGGUGGUCCCACUCUCUCCUUUCUUUUCUCCAAAUCAGACAAAUGAGAAUUAUUACUAAAUAAGAGUUGUAUGGCUCCCUCCCGAAUUACUCUCCAGUUCGUGGAUGGAUAUAAUGUUCGAGUUAAGGGUCAGCGUUAAAGAGGGCCUAGAUGCUGCUUUUGGUCAUCUUUGCGCACAGCUAGCGCAUCGAGCAGAGAAUUGCAUGAAUCCUACCGAGUGUCAAAGGGGGUAAUGAUUCAGCGUCCCGUGCGGAUGGCAAUGGCAUGCACCAGAAACACACACAGCACGCGCUGGAGCAUCUGUAUGUGCUCAACUUCCACAGGCCAACCUGGUGUGAUCAUAAUUUGAUCCAAUCCCAUCAAUCACGUCCCACCGUCUAAUCACCUGACCCGACUAAUCUUAUUGGAAAAACAUGAUGCUUAAUCAUGGAAGGCAUCAAUUGUUUAAAGUUAGACAGUAUAUUCAUGCAAUGCUUCAACUGAUUAAUUGUAAGCACAAGUGCACAAGUUACUUAAUCACCCGUACACAAAUAAUUAGCAGCACGGAUCAUUCGAUCGAGCUGAAGCCGAUGAUCGGCAAAAAGGUAGAGAAAGAAAAGAAACGCAGGAAACUUGUGAUGAUAUAAAGAAAAUAAAUGUUGCAAUAGUGAUAAACACUAGUUACUACUAGUAGCAAAAAAAAUGAUGAAACAAAAUUAGGGCCGUCCUCAAGUGAAGGUGAGGCUCGAUCGGGGGACCGGAGUACGUAGUUGCAUGAAAUUGAUAUAUGAAGCCGUACGUAGAUGGAUCGGCUCCUGGAUCGGACGGCUGAUGUGAAAUGAACAGAUUCAG